UCUCCGUCGGUGAACCAGCGGAGGGAUCAUUA
rnacentral:rRNA from 1 species